rnacentral:rRNA from 1 species
UAGUCAUAUGCUUGUCUCAAAGAUUAAGCCAUGCAUGUCUAAGUACAAGCCUCACUAAGGUGAAACCGCGAAUGGCUCAUUAAAUCACACCUAAUCUACUGGAUAGUAGUCAGUUACUCGGAUACCUGCGGUAAUUCUGCAGCUAAUACGUGCAAACAAGCCUCGACUUUGGAAGAGGCGCUUUUAUUAGAUCAAAACCGAUCGGCUUCGGCCGUCCUUUUGGUGAUUCUGAAUAACUUUGAGCUGAUCGCAUGGCCUCGAGCCGGCGACAUAUCCAUCGAAGGUGUGCCCUAUCAUCUGUCGACUGUGGCAUAGACGCCCACAUAGAUCAGCGUGUUCUCCCUUUCUGAGAAGAACGGGUAAACCGCUGAACCCUAUUCGUGGUAGGGAUCGGGGCUUGCAAUUAUUCCCCGUGAACCAGGAAUUCCCAGUAGGCGCGAGUCAUAAGCUCGCGUCGAUUACGUCCCUGCCCUUUGUACACACCGCCCGUCACUAAUACCGAUUGAAUGGUU